GUUGAUCCUGCUGGCGGCUGCGGCUCUCCGAUUUGCACUAAGACAUGCAAGUUUUUUGGUUUCUUUGGAAGUUGAAGGCGAACUGCUCAGUAACACGUAGCUAACCUACCCUUAGGUCGAGGAUACCCUCGGGAAACUGAGGUUAAUACUCGAUAGGGGAUAUACUCUGGAAGGACAUAUCCUUUAAAUUCGAGCCUAAGGAUGGGGCUGCGGCGGAUUAGGUUGUUGGCGGGGUAAAGGCCCACCAAGCCGAAGAUCCGUAAGGGCUUUUAGCGAAGGGGCCCUGAGAGGGAAUCUGAGACACUAUUCCCAGCCCCACGGGGUGCAGCAGUUAGGAAUAAUCUACAAUGCGCGCAAGCGUGAUAGUUUGAGUCGGAGUGCGUUCCAAUUUGGAAUGCUUUUGUGUACUGUAAAAAGGUACACGAAUAAGGACUGGGUAAGACGAGUGCCAGCCGCCGCGGUAAUACUCGCGGUCCAAGUCGCAGCCAUUUUUAUUGCGUCUAAAACAUCCGUAGCUUGUCUGGUAAGUUCCUUGUGAAAUUCUAUAUCUCAAAUAUAGAGCGAGCAGGGAAUACUGCCAGACUAGAGACUGGAAGACGGAACGAGUACGUUUAAAGUAGCGGUAAAAUGUGUUAAUCUUAAGCGGACUAACAAUAGCGAAGGCACGUUUCGAGGACAGUUCUGACAGUAAGGGAUGAAGGCUAGGGGCGCAAAACGGAUUAGAUACCCGUGUAGUCCUAGCAGUAAACACUGCACACUAAACAUCAGUACCUCUUCGAGAGGUAUUGGUGCUGAAGGGAAGCCGAAGAGUGUGCUACCUGGGAAGUAUAGUCGCAAGGCCGAAACUUAAAGGAAUUGGCGGGGAGACACUACAACGAGUGACGCGUGCGGUUCAAUCAGAUUCUACACCGUGAACCUCACCAGGAGCGACAGCAGAAUGAAGGUCAGUCUAAAGGGCUUACCUGACACGCUGAGAUGAGCUGCAUGGCCAACAUAAGCCUGUGCCGUGAGGUGACUUGUUAAAUCAAGUAACAGGCAAGACCCUCGUCUUUAUUUACCAAGUGUACAAUAAAGAGAUUGCCUUGGAAACGAGGAUGAAAGUGAGGGCUAUGUUAGGUGGUACAGCCAGAAUCCCCUGGGCAACACGCGCGCGUCAAUGGUGGAUACAGUGGGACGCGACACCGAAAGGUGAAGCUAAUCUCUUAAAGUCCAUCUUAGUUUAGAUUGAGGUUUGUAACUCAGCCUCAUGACACUGGAAUUCGUAGUAAUCGGAUGUUAUCAGCGUCCGGUGAAUAUGUCACGGUCUCUUGCACACACUGCCCGUCAAAUCAACCGAGUUUAGUUAGGAUGAAACCCUUCGGGGGAGAAUCUUAGCUAGACGAGGUAGGUU
rnacentral:rRNA from 1 species